UUAUGAUGAAUUAUUAUUUGUCAGUUCUGCUACUGAGUAUUAAUUGAAGAUAAUGAU
rnacentral:snoRNA from 1 species